rnacentral:rRNA from 1 species
AGCGAACGCUGGCGGCGUGCCUAACACAUGCAAGUCGAACGUGAAAGGGAGGCAAUCCCAAGUAAAGUGGCGUACGGGUGAGUAAUACAUCGGAACGUACCCAGGAGUGGGGGAUAGCCCGGCGAAAGCCGGAUUAAUACCGCAUACGAUCUUAGGAUGAAAGUGGGGGGCCGCAAGGCCUCACGCUUUUGGAGCGGCCGAUGUCCGAUUAGCUAGUUGGUGGGGUAAAGGCCUACCAAGGCGACGAUCGGUAGCUGGUCUGAGAGGAUGAUCAGCCACACUGGGACUGAGACACGGCCCAGACUCC